rnacentral:rRNA from 1 species
UGGGGAUCUGCCAGAAGAGGGGGAUAACCACUGGAAACGGUGGCUAAUACCGCAUAACCUCGCGAGACCCAAGAGGGGUACCUUCGGGCCUCUCACUAUCGGAUGAACCCAGAUGGGAUUAGCUAGUAGGCGGGGUAAUGGCCCACCUAGGCGACGAUCCCUAGCUGGUCUGAGAGGAUGACCAGCCACACUGGAACUGAGACACGGUCCAGACUCCCACG